rnacentral:rRNA from 1 species
UACGUAGGGGGCUAGCGUUGUUCGGAAUUAUUGGGCGUAAAGAGCGUGUAGGCGGCCCGAUAAGUCCGCUGUGAAAGUCCAGGGCUCAACCUUUGAAAGCCGAUGGAUACUGCAGGGCUAGAGUCCGGAAGAGGCGAGUGGAAUUCCUGGUGUAGCGGUGGAAUGCGCAGAUAUCAGGAGGAACACCAAUAGCGAAGGCAGCUCGCUGGGACGGUACUGACGCUAAGGCGCGAAAGCGUGGGGAGCGAACAGG